CUAGUGUAGGGUUGCCAUACGUCCCCGUACGCCGGGACAUGUCCCCGUUUGAAGCAUGGUGUCCUGGCGUCCCGGCCGAUAAGCAAUUUGUCCCCGUUUAAAAAUCAUAGUUAUUUAAUAGAGGGCUAGACUUGGUAAACAGUAAUAUACCUACGUAGAAAUAAACGCGACUAACUAGCUAGGCUAAUGAGUCCCAAAAAGAGUUGCUCCGUAAAGCGGGAACAUCUGACAAGUAUGAAUGGGCCCACAAAAGUGGCAACAAUUAGACUAAGAAGCUUCCUAACCGCUGGAUUUUAUAUUUGUUGAUUAAUUUAUUAUAUUUUGUACUAAUAAAAAAAAUGCCAUGCAUAAACGAGGAUAUAAUAUUUGAUGAUUAUAUUUUGUGUUAAUUUAAAAAAUAACAAUGCCAUGCAUAGUUGAGAAUGUUAUAUUUAUUUUGUUGUUGAUUAUAUUUUGUGUUUAUUAAAAAAAUAACAUUGUGAUAAUUUUAUGUUUGUUGAUUACAUACCCCCUUACUAAUAAUGGUUGUAUAGUGGCGGUAUAGCUAUACAAUGUUUUGUCCUUAUCUGUCAAAUUCAAAUGUCACAAUGACAGAUAAGGUCAAAAGAUUGUAUAGCUAUACCACCGCUAUACAACCAUUAUUAGUAAGACUAAGGGGGAACGUGUGCUAAUUAAAAAAUGUUGACAGAUACUUAAUACUUUGGUUAAUGUUGAUUAAUACCUAUUGUUGUAAUAAAAGCUCCUUUUUUCUACCUUUAA